rnacentral:tRNA from 1 species
GCUCCUCUCUUCUCGAGAAUCCAUACAUCCCUUAUCAGUGUAGGGCGAGGUCUCUGGUUCAAGUCCAGGAUGGCCCA